rnacentral:tRNA from 1 species
GGAAGAGAUCGCUCCCCGGUGGGACGGCCGGUCUUCAAAACCGGCGGGGCACGUCAGACGUGCCCUGGUAGGUUCGACUCCUGCUCUCUUCCG